GACAAAGCUACCGGGAUCCUGUUAUAUGGCUUGGCCUCCCGACUCAGGGAUACCCGGCGUCUCUCCUUCCUUGUAAGCUACAUAGCCAGUAAGAAGAUCCACACUGAGCCCCAGCUAAGCGGGUGGUGGUGCCAGGGCUUAACUUUUCAGGAGGCCAGACUAUCCUUGGAGUUUCAUGAGAUUAGGACCCUGUCUGUCCACUUCUUGGAGCAGAGAUGCCACAAACUCACGGGCUCUUUCUUCUCAGCUGCCCUUGAGUAUGUGCGGAGUCACCCCUUGGACCCCAUCGACACUGUGGACUUCGAGCGGGAAUGUGGCGUGGGUGUCAUUGUGACCCCAGAGCAGAUUGAGGAGGCUGUGGAGGCUGCUAUUAACAGGCACCGGCCCCAGCUCCUGGUGGAACGUUACCAUUUCAACAUGGGGCUGCUGAUGGCUCCUUGUGCCUAUGCUUCUAGGAGAGGCUCGGGCUGUGCUGAAGUGGGCAGAUGGCAAAAUGAUCAAGAAUGAAGUGGACAUGCAG
rnacentral:sRNA from 1 species